rnacentral:lncRNA from 1 species
GCUACUGCCGCCGCCGCCGCUGUUGCCGCUGGUGCCGCUGCCGCCGCCGCUGCUCAUGAUCAUUAUUUUACCUUUUAAUUCUUUUUUUUUCCGCUCUUGCCAAAUGCUUUGGCUCCAAGUUUUCUAUGUGUAUCUAUUGAUAUAAAUGUAUAUAUUUAUUUAUUCUAGCUGUCAGGUGUUAAAAUAAAUGCCGAAGAUUAGUCCCACGUCUCUCCCACCAUAGGAUAUAGAUUGUUAUGUAUUUAUUAUUAUUAUUGUUGUCUUUGAGUGAAUCGGCCGGUUUGGGGAGGCUUUUGCCACCCUCCCUUGUGUUGUUUUGGUUUUUGGAAAGGAGGUGGAGGAGAGGAAGGAGGGGAAUUAGGGGGCGGCCGGAGCAGAGAGGACGAGACAGUGCUUGGGGGGUGAUUCGGGCUAGUCUGGGGGCUGUCUGGCCCCAGACCGCGGAGAGGACGCGCGCUCGCGCUCUCGCUCUUUCUGCUGCUGCUUGCGUACGGCUUGUGAUCUCUCUGGAUUCGUGCGGCUGUGUUUUUUCCCUCUUUUCUCGCUUGCAAACUGCUUUCCUUGCUCCGUCGCUCCUGGCCUCCGCUUCCCUCCCUCCUCUUUUUCCUCGCCUCUUCUUCCUUCCCUUCCCCUGUCCUUCUGGGUAACUCCGGGAGGCAAAAAGGGAGGCUGCCCGCUCGCUCGCCCCGCUGGCUCUCUUCCAUCGGCCUCGGUCUUUUAGAUUCCCUGCCUUCGAGCCGAACCGAGAUUUGGAAGGAAAAAAUGCAAGCGAACUCUUUGGGUUUUUGUUUUUGUUUUUUUGGUCAUAAAUCCAGAUGAGAUGA